GGUGUGUCAAACAAACAUACACAUAACUUUGGGUGAUGUAAAAUUCUAUUUUAAGUAACAUUAAGCAGGCCAGAAAAUGACUGAGUGAAUGAGUUUAGUUUUAUGCUGCUUU